rnacentral:lncRNA from 1 species
GGCCUCUGCCAGCAGAACCCCACUAGUGGGCCAGGCGUGAGCUGUCCUCUGAAAUGCCCAGAGGCCAAAAUGUUCUUUGGAGGAUCUUAUUCAGCUGAACUGCAAUGCUGUCUCCACCUCCCUAGCUGCUGGGAUUAUACAGGCGUGGGCCACCACAUCUGGCUUCAAUGUUGUCAGCCCUGGGUGGCGUCAGGGAUGCCAGGAACAGGAGAACCAGAAGAGGCUGUUGACAUGCUCAGGGAGAGAGCAAGAACUGGUUAAAGCCUCAGACACCAACCAGCCUGUCUGACCACAGAGCCUAAGAUGCGUGAAGACAGAGAUUCGAUCAAAUGUGGCUUCCAGCUGUAUCCUCAGGUCUCAAGACUGACACCCUGUGAAUACUAGCGAAAGAAACAGAUAUCUGGAUGCCACCACUCUUUGGCUCAGUGACUGUCAGUGUCUCCCCGCUGUAGUCAAGUUAUAAAACCUAGGCUUCUUGCUCUGCCCUGGGAGGGAAGUGACUGUCACUCACAGAACAAGCAGGGACACAUUAUGCAGGUCAAAGGGGAUGCUGCAAACCGGUAUCUUAGAACAACAAGAACACAACAGACUUUUCUUUUUCAAACAGGGAGGCAUAGCUGCCACACUUGCCCGAAGCCCAGGGAAUGGUGUCUGUCUUUCUCUCUGGCUUCCUUCUCCGACCCACUCCCUCUCUGAGCCAUCUGCAGUUUCGCCCUUCAACCCAGAGAAGUCCUUUGAGUAGCUGGAGCUAUCUCGUUAUUGUGGCCCCACAUUGAACACUACUUGCCCAAGAGCCCUUCCCUGACCACACAUUCCCACUCAAACCACCUCCAUCUCAAAGUUGUGACUUGUGCCCCACCCCGCCCCCGCCCCCGCCCCCUUGCUCUCAGCUCUGUGUCUGAGAUCCCUUCUUUGGCGCUCAGGCAGGAUGCAUUGAAUUCCCCCAGGCACCUGUCAGCUUCUAGGGAGGUGUUUCUGAGGGUAAACUGACUCUAUCUGGGGAGGUACAGGGAGCAGGGAAGGAAAGACGACUGACUGUGCCUACGAAGUCACCCCAGAAAUCAGAAUUACUUUCUCCUCAGUCCCCCAGUUGUUUCAUCUGAGAGGACUCUGGGGGCCAAGUCUGAAUAAAGAUUACAAACCACCUUCCCC